rnacentral:rRNA from 1 species
UACGUAGGGCGCGAGCGUUGUCCGGAAUUAUUGGGCGUAAAGAGCUCGUAGGCGGCCUGUUGCGUCUGCUGUGAAAUCCCGGGGCUUAACCCCGGGCGUGCAGUGGAUACGGGCAGGCUGGAGGCAGGCAGGGGAGACUGGAAUUCCUGGUGUAGCGGUGAAAUGCGCAGAUAUCAGGAGGAACACCGGUGGCGAAGGCGGGUCUCUGGGCCGGUACCGACGCUGAGGAGCGAAAGCGUGGGGAGCGAACAGG